rnacentral:rRNA from 1 species
CCUACGGGGGGCAGCAGUAGGGAAUCUUGCACAAUGGGCGAAAGCCUGAUGGAGCGACGCCGCGUGGGUGAAGAAGGUCUUCGGAUCGUAAAACCCUGUUGUUAGAGAAGAAAGAGGGUGAGCGUAACUGUUCACGUUUCGACGGUAUCUAACCAGAAAGCCACGGCUAACUACGUGCCAGCAGCCGCGGUAAUACGUAGGUGGCAAGCGUUAUCCGGAUUUAUUGGGCGUAAAGGGAACGCAGGCGGUCUUUUAAGUCUGAUGUGAAAGCCUUCGGCUUAACCGGAGUAGUGCAUUGGAAACUGGCAGACUUGAGUGCAGAAGAGGUGAGUGGAACUCCAGGUGUAGCGGUGAAAUGCGUAGAUAUAAGGAAGAACACCAGUGGCGAAGGCGGCUCACUGGUCUGUAACUGACGCUGAGGUUCGAAAGCGUGGGUAGCAAACAGGAUUAGAUACCCUAGUAGUC